rnacentral:rRNA from 1 species
AACGAACGCUGGCGGCAUGCCUAACACAUGCAAGUCGAACGAGACCUUCGGGUCUAGUGGCGCACGGGUGCGUAACGCGUGGGAAUCUGCCCUUGGGUUCGGAAUAACAGUUAGAAAUGACUGCUAAUACCGGAUGAUGUCUUCGGACCAAAGAUUUAUCGCCCAGGGAUGAGCCCGCGUCGGAUUAGCUUGUUGGUGAGGUAAAAGCUCACCAAGGCGACGAUCCGUAGCUGGUCUGAGAGGAUGAUCAGCCACACUGGGACUGAGACACGGCCCAGACUCCUAUGGGAGGCAGCAGUGGGGAAUAUUGGACAAUGGGCGAAAGCCUGAUCCAGCAAUGCCGCGUGAGUGAUGAAGGCCUUAGGGUUGUAAAGCUCUUUUACCCGGGAUGAUAAUGACAGUACCGGGAGAAUAAGCCCCGGCUAACUCCGUGCCAGCCGCCGCAGUAAAAC